rnacentral:misc_RNA from 1 species
AAGUCGUAACAAGGUCUCCGUAGGUGAACCUGCGGAGGGAUCAUUAACAAAUCUCAAACACACAUCCUGUGUAACCGUCUGUUCCUGGUGUGGUGACAAUGGAUAGAGUGGGGAGUGUCUAUCUGUGUGCGUGCCGUGGUAAAACACACACACGCAGCACUCGCCAGGAACAUCAUACAUACCAUUGUCAGAUCGUAUUAUUACUUAUGUAAUGACACAACAACUUUUAACAAUGGAUCUCUUGGCUCUU